rnacentral:lncRNA from 1 species
UAUGGUUCUUCUGAUUGUUUUAUUGAAAGUUUAAUUAUUGUUUUUAAAUCUGGUUUUAUUAUUAUUUAUUAGAUUGUCUGGAAAUAACAUGCUGCAGUGAGGCACCAAUUAGUUCCUCAGGUAUCCUAGUCUUGUUGGCUCAUAAAGUUUUGGUGCCCUUUCUGGCCAUUACAGAAGUGGCACCGUGCCGCAGAUAUAAGGCUGGCUGUUUCACUAGCUUAAUGCCGUGUGGCGUAAGAUCCUCUAGUUGUACUACCAGGUAAUAACCCUCCUUACUAAAGUUACUGACUUUAUUUAGCUGAUUUUGUUACUUCUGGAGCUGGCCUACUUGAAGCAGCAAUUGGCUUAGAUUGUUUGGUUUGGAAUACAGUACCUAAACAAAACACAUACCCCCCUCCUUUCUCAUUAACACUUAUGCACUGUGAAAUACAAGAGGGGAACAGUAAAAGAAAAAGGCAACAGUCAGAAUCACUUGGGAGGAAAAGCAACUCUAAAUAUUGAAUAUCUGUCUUGGGGAAGAACACUGUUUGGAAGGCUAUUAAAAAGUCAACAUAACUAUGCACACAUUAAAGCACUGAACAGAUUAUUUGUCCUGCAUGACUUUGCUGUCUUAUUCAGAGAUACCUACAGCUUUGAGGUCAAGAGUUAAAACCAUUUAUAUAUUUAUAUAGCGUAAGGUAAGUUAGAGUAAUAGAAUUAUAGAGUUGGAAAGGACCCCAGGGGUCAUCUAGUCCAACCCCCUUCAAUGCAGGAAUCUCAACUAAAGCAUCCAUGACAUAUGGCCAUCCAACCUCUGCUUAGAGACUUUCAAGGAAGGAUAGUCCACAACCGCCUGAGGGGGACCAUUCCACUGUUGAACAGCCUUACUGUCAUAAAGUUUUUUCUGGUGUUUAGUCAGAAUCUCCUUUCUUGUAACUUGAAGCCAUUGGUUCAAGACCUACCCUCCAGAGCAGGAAAAAGCAAACUUGUUCCCUCUUCCACAUGACAACCCUUGAGAUAUUUGAAGAUGGCUAUUGUAUUUUGUUGUUUAGAAAAAGGUAAAUGUAGAAAUGACAAACAUUUCCCCCUAAAUAGGCCUAAGAAAGGUUGUUACUCCUUUCACAAUAUGUUUUGGAUUGGCCAUUUUAUCGUUUCAUAUGCUGAAAUCUCCCUCUUUAUAUUGCUCAUAAAUAUUAUCUUCACAGCAUGUAUUUCUCACUUCACAAUAUACAAUCUCACAUAAAGUGUAAUCACCACACAUUUUAAGAUUUUAAAGAAAACUGGGAGAGGUUAUCUAGACAAUAUAUACUGUGGGUUACUUAUUUAUAUAUAGGGUAUAAUAUAUGAUGCUUGCAAUCCUUCUUGCUCAGGAAACAUCUUCAGCAGGAUACAGAUUAUUGACCAGAGACCAUCUUCCAGUGGCAUAUUACCAAUUUUCCUUAAGACAAAUCCUUCAAUUAUGUGGAAUGACUGAAGGACUGUAAUGAGCCCAUGAAAUCCAUACUUGGGAGUUUAUAUUAUGUGGAUUAUUGGCAAGGACUACUUCCUUAACCAUUAUAUGUUGUCUUGCUAUUGAACAUAUGAGAUCUAAGAAUGGCCAUUCACACUAUAGAUUGUUAAGAAAAAUGAAGCAUACUUAUUUAAUGUUCGGGAAGCCUCUUAUGUCAGCCUUUUUCUAUAAUGUGGAUUAUGGUGUUCCUCAACUAUUAUGGUUGUCCUCAACUAUUACCAUAUUAUCUUUGGAAUAUUAUUUCUAACUACUUGCCAUUCUGCCGAUACAUCUUUGUGUACUACCUCUUCAUAUAUUUUUAGGCUGCUAGAUACAGCACAGUUCUGAGAAUAUUAUUUUUUCCUUUGUGUAUAAAUUAUACUUUCACUUUAGUAAGAAGUGUGAUAAAUAACUGUGAAGUUGAAUUGCUGAAUGUGCGCUGAAGGGGGGAAAGGGGGCACAGGAAAGGUUCUGCUGCAUUUUUCAGAUAAUUAAGCAACAUUCAGUGGCUAAAAAGCUAUUUUAAGAACUGCAUUAUUCCAGCCUGUUCACAAGUAGCAACACUCUAAAAAGGUUUUGAAAUGUGUUACUUACUUUACAGAUUCACACACACUGUCUAUCUGCUGAUUGCUUAGCUAAUUUUUUAUUUGUUUUAUGCAUCAGACAGUGUAUCAAGAAUGGGUAGUUGCGUGUCGAGGUCCCCAAGACACCCCGCCAAAGAAAAACACAAUUGACACUUAAUUUUUGUUUAAGGUUUUUGGCAUAACUUUGGCCACAAAUUUAUUCAAAUACAGCAAUGUGAGUGGUUGCUUAGGCAUUGGUAGCACUAACUGCCCCCGCACGGGGACAGCUCUGACAUUCGCACCCCCCGCGAAGUCAGGAAGGGUAAGUCACCUGGGGAGAGAGACGGGACUGGGAACCAUGCCUCACCUCUCCCCAGCAUGCUCCCAGGGGCUUGCGUGGCCCUAGCCCCUUGCCAGGGGGUUUCGGACAAAAGCAUGGGGAGCCCCUGGGUUCCUUUAACGGAAAACCCUUGAAGCAGCAGCAGCAGCAUUUUGGAGGGGCAGGCACAGCCGAAUCCAUACCCCUCCACCAUCAGCAGCAUUUUGGAGGGGCAGGCACAGCCGAAUCCAUACCCCUCCACCAACCAAUUCCAAGACCAAUGCCUAACCGCAAACCUUACAAGUUGUGACGAUUUGCUACGCAGUAGGCAAAAACCAAGUGGCACACACUAAUCAGCCAAAUGGCAAAAUUCCUACCGGGCCCCUGCCCCAAAGCAGAUGACCCCAUGAUAGGCAUAGCAAGGUCAAGCAAACAGCCUAAAAUUACGGAAGGGAGGGCGGGUGAUCUGAAGUAAGCAGCGAAAAGAGGAAGUUCCUUGCUGCGAGCAUUGUAUUUAACAAAUAGGGCUGUCAAUCAACAAAUGGCAACAUCUAGAUUACCCCAGUAACAGCCCACCACUGCUUAAAGAAUGGCCAAACCAUUUGCCUAGUAACAGUGAGGUGUCUUGUCAGCCCCGCCCGCAACCUGUGCUCUCCAUGAGGGAGAACACACUAUGCUUGAACUCCUAGUUAGGUAUGAGGAAGAAAUCAAUUUGGUCCACUUUUCACAAUGGACUUGCCCAUUUCACCGCUCACAAGCUUACUUAUGAAUCAGAACACAAGUAAUAGUCAGUUUACACACUUCUCCAGAUUUUGCAAUGUAGUUUUAGUUCCAAAAGGACCAAAAAGCAUACAAAAUACAUAUUUUACAUCAAAAGAAAUACAUAUAAAUCAUGUAUUUUAGAGGGAAAUGCAUAGAACAUGUGUGUUAUAUGGUAUUAUUUGUAAGGGAUAAAAUGUGAUAUUGUUCACUUGC